ACAUGGCCCAACCAAUUUAUACUCGGACCUAAGUCCCACUCGUGGCAUGACAGAUGACACAAGUUGCCAUGGCAUGAAAUGGGAAAGAUACAUCGUACAUUAAUGUAAAGCAAACUUCAAUGGCAUGAAUAAGUUCUCUCCUUACUUGAAGAGAGAGAGAGAGGGUUAAGGGUCAAGAAACGCCAUGAAGAUUUUCGGAAAGCAAGUAUUCCCGCGGCAAAUUGUGCUCUUCGGUUCAGGGCUUCUCUUCUUGGCUGCGACCACCUACGAUGUCCACAGAUCCAUCAGGAACAACCAGACUCCCCCUUCGAAGGAACAGCUACAAGCCCUCGAAGACUACCUCAAAUCCGUCCGCCGACCCCCUUGAACAAGUUCAUCAUCAGUUCAGACCCCAACUUUUGAUUCCACCGACGAUUCACUUUGAUGCCGUCGAGUUCAGGUGGGGUUUGAGUUCUCGCGGAAUUCGCACCUGAGAGUUUUUGGCAGUUCUGGGAGAUCCCUUUUGGCUUUGUUUGGUUCUGGUUUGUCGCGAUGCACACUGUCGCCGCUAAACCCAUUUUCAGCCACAUGAAGAAGUGGGUGAUUCACCUUGUGUAUCGUAGUACCCUUUGGCUCAAAUAAAAGAAGGGGUAAGGAAAGACGACGGACAUUGCUCCAGAUUGAGGACCAACUCUCGAUUUUUCCUUUUUUUGGUUGUUAAAUCGUAUGUAUAAAGUGAAUUAAACAUAUAUGAUGCCUUUUUAUGUAAAUGAGGUCUGUAUACAAAUGAAGUUGGUUUCUGGAGUAACUUUCAGAUUGAUUCAA